CGACCGCUCUUCCGAUCUUUCCCUAUUAAAUAAAGUCCUCGCAAGCUUGUGAUGUUACAUGGAAUAUCCGGGAAUCUUUCCAAUUUUGAGCAAUGAUUAAGAUUGAGAAGUUCAAGAUUCUUGGACCUGAGCACAUUCGGGAAAUCAUGAAGUUUAGAACACCCACUUAAAUUCAAUAACCGUAAGCUGUCAUGAUU